AUUGAACGCUGGCGGCAUGCUUUACACAUGCAAGUCGAACGGUAACAGGCCGCUAGGUGCUGACGAUUGGCGAACGGGUUAGUAAUGCAUCGGAACGUGCCCAGUCGUGGGGGAUAACUACUCGAAAGACUACCUAAUACCACAUCCGAUCUAUGGAUGAAAUCUGUGGACCGUAAUGCCUCGCGCCAUUGGAGCGGCCGAUGUCAGAUUAGUUAGUUGUUGGGGUAAAGGCUCACCAAGCCAACGAUCUGUAGCUGGUCUGAGAGGACGACCAGCCACACUGGAACGGAGACACGGCCAAGAGGCCUACGGGAGGCAGCAGUGAGGAAUUUUGGACAAUGGGGGCGAGCCUGAUCCAGCAAGGCCGCGUGCAGGAAGAAGGCCUUCGGGUUGUAAACUGCUUUUGUACGGAACGAAACGGCUCUGGUUAAUACCCGGGGCUAAUGACGGUACCGGAAGAAUAAGCACCGGCUAACUACGUG
rnacentral:rRNA from 1 species